UUACCAGAUUAGACUAGCGGGUAGGUGU
rnacentral:sRNA from 1 species